AUCUACGCAGAAUUGGGUGAUUUCUGCAUUUCCAACUGAGAGUGGAGCUGAUAUUUCUUCAGCAUUCCCCAUCUACUGCAUGAAUAUGUAUCCUUUAGGACCUCUGCAGUUACAGAUAUCAGAAGAGAGGUUGUGUUUAUCUAGAAGCAGCAGCAAAUGAUAGAUGAGUCCUGGGUUCUCCCUUUUGC